AAAAUCUUUUUAAUUCCAUUAUUACUUUACUUUUCUAAAUAAAAAAGUAUGUAUCCUUGAUAAUUUCCCAGUUUUGAUCUUUUUGUUAUAUAAAAAUUAUUUUUUGCAAGCAAAACUGAAAUUGUAGCUUUUGAAAUCCUAAUUUUAUCGCCACUGAGAGUAAAUCCACACUUGAGACCAAAUUAAUUUUUUUAAGAAGGAGAGAAGAUGCUAUAAAUCAUUUAAAAAGAAUUUUAAAAAAUUGUCUUUACAAGCUUAAUUUUCAUUAAUUUGCUUAGAUAUUGCUUAAAUUAAUUGCUUAGAUUUGCUUAGAUUAAUUGCUAAUUAGAGCCUUACGGGGUACAUGUUAGAUAAAUACAAGUAUAAAAAAUAAUUUUAUCAACCUUUUGCAAAUGUAUACUUUUCAACAUUCAUUUGGUUCAGUUCUAUGUGUACAAUUUUGGAUGGCCUAGUUAUCUCAUGGCAAGUAGGUUGUAGGUACAGCUGUUUAGCACUAGCCCUUCAAUUUCAAACUCCCUCCCAAAAUGAGUGGAUUGUUUCAUAUCUUUUGCAUGCUGGGAAAAAUACGGUUUCCUAUAACAAAUUCAGCAGGUAGCAUUUAUGUUCAAUUUCAGACUUUACAAUAUGAUAAUAAAACCUAUUUUUUAAAUAAUAGAAUGUGUUUGAAAGUAUUUUAAAGCUUUAAGUUUGUUACACCAUUGUUAUAUUAAUUUUUAUGUAAAAGUAGGAUUUUUUUUUUUUUUUAGUCUGGAGAAAGUUAUGACUUUUCCACAAUACAGAGUAGAUAAAGAAUAAGUGUGAAGAGUACCAAGCAAUGGGCCUGAAAAUUAAAAAAAAAAGUCAGUAUUGGGAUCAGUGCAGGCGUGUGAAUAGUAAGAUAGUUUACUUAAAAUAAUGUUCUCAAGAUUAUUGAGCAAGUUUAAACUGUGCAAUAUCCUUGUGCCUUUAAAAAAAAGUUUAGGGAAUAUGAUGCAAAAGAAUUGAAGCAAUAUACUCUUAUAGGGGGAUAGCUUGUUGUUUUGUGAUCUUUUAAAUAGCUCAUCUGGCAUUGUAGCCAUCUAAUGAAGAUUAGUAAAAUAAAGUCAUAAAUUGAUUCUUUUUAUUGCUUUUUGUCAUUCAUAAUACUCUUUUGGCAAUCUUUUCAUACCCAGUUUCUUCCUUUAUGUAUGUAUAUUAUAUUUUUUGUAACUUAUUGUUUGCUUUUAAUAUUUUUAUUUCAAGGUCUUGCAAUUAUGGGUAACCAAAGUUUAAUAAUGACUAAUUUGUGCAAUAAUUUUAUUAAUUUGGAAAUUUACAUUUAUCUGUUGAGCCAUGACGAUGCAAUAGUUAUGGAAUUAGUGGUGUUGUGAAGGACCAUAGUUCUGUUCAUGUCAGCAGCUUGAAACCUACCCAGCUUCAAAUUCAUAGAUAUUAGUUUGUCAAGGAAGUAAAGACAGCCAAUAUACUUUUGCUAAUCUCACUACAUCCCCUUAAUGCUGUUGAACUCAAAAUUGUAGAGCCCUAAUUUCCAUGACCAAUUUGGUCGACAAACUAGCUCUUGCAAGAGAUGCUUUCUUAGUCUCACACUUAUAUAUUUCGUAACUAUACUCUUCAUAAUUUCCUCACGAUUUCAAUCAUAGCUAAGCUAAAAUAAUUAUUUAUUUCUUGUAAGUGAUAAAAACUUUUCAAAAUAAGAAGUCAUGGCUGUUUUUAUGUUUCAUUUGCUUGAUUGAAAAAAAAGAAAUUCUUAAUGGUUAAUUAUGUAUUUUUCACUCAAAUACUAUUUGUACACUUUUUUUUUUAGGUUUUGUCCCUGAUUCUCUCCUGAUUGAAAAGUUUUGCCAGGAAAUAAAAGCAAGCACAUCAACUAGCAUCCACAAAUGUUAUCUUUGUUCCUAUACAACAGCAAAUAAAGGCCACUUAAAAAGGCAUCAACUUACCCAUACUGGAGAAAAGCCUCAUAGUUGUGAAAUAUGUGGCAAAACAUUUGCUUUAAAAGAAAAUCUCAAAAAACAUUACUUAACACAUAUCAAAUGUUAAUAUACAGACUGAAAGCUGCAAUGAAUAAUGCUCGAAAAAAGAAGUAUGGCAUUGUUAUACAUUCAUGUUCCCUCUGCUCAUAUGUAACACCUUAUAAUUCAUCUUUAAAGAGACACCAACUCAUCCACACUGGAGAACGACCUCAUUCUUGCGAAAUAUGUGGUCAAAAGUUUGCCCUAAAGGAAAAUCUAAAGAAACACUAUAUUGUGCAUUUGAAGAGUUAAUCCUGUAUUGAGAAUCGAAAUUAGUUGAUAUGUCUCAAUUUCAAUCUUUUUUAAAGCAUAAAAAAUAAUUACAACCUACCUAUCUGAAUAUCUAACUAGAUUACACUUACAUUAGCAAUUCUGUACUACUACAUGUAUUUUAAAGAUUUUAUUUUAUUUCUGUUAUCACAUAUAAAAUAAUAUAAUUUAAGAAUAAAAAUGCAUGUAUUUCUACUUAGUGGAUAAGUGUGAUAUUUUUUCUCUUAAAAUAUUUGACUAUUAUGAAAUUAAGAUUUUAUUAUAAAAGGUUUUAUGUAUCAUUAAAUUUUAUUUUUAAAAAUGUACUGCCCUUAAUACAUAUUUUUAGAAUAUUUGUCAACAAAAAAAACUAUCCACAAAUUAAUAUUUAGGUAAAAAAAUAAAUAAACCAAAAGGCUAUCAAAAUCUGUAAAGCAGGAUAAAAGUUAACAACUAGUUUGAGUGAUUGAAAAUAUUGAUUGGAGUUGAAAGGCAACCUAGAAACAUCUCCAAAUUUUAUCUGGCAAUCAAACAGGUUUUGAUUUUUUCUUUCAAUCUCAUCUUCCAUUAUUUGGAUUCUUUACAUGUUGGUAGUGUUUUUAAUUUUUCCUCACUUUAAAAUAAAUUUGCUGCCUCUGUGCCAGAUAAGCUUCAUAUCUAAAUAUAGUGGUCAUUUAAGUGGUUUAAUGCGAUAACGUCAUAGAUAAAUAUUUAUCAAAAAUAUUAUCAACUCUGUGAAGAAUGGCCUUAACUUUUAUCUAUGAGAAUUGUCUGACUUUCAAGAACUAGACAAAAAAUUGCUUUUAUCAAAUUAAUAUGUCAUUAGUUCAAAAAUGUCUAUUGCUGUUUUUUAUGAAAGUUAAAUGUUUGGUUCUCAAUAUUUUGAAUUAUUUUAAUUUCUUGUUUUAGCUUUAAAGCAUAGAAAUAUUCAUUGUUAACUCUUUUUUUAUAAAUCAAUAUAUUUGAUGUUCCAGACAGCUGAGAAUUUAUGUUUCAAUGGAAAAAAAUUUUAUUUAUUUAAAUAUGUCAUUAAGUAGACAUGUUGUAAUAAUGUUGGCAACACAGUAAACAAAAAAGACAAUUUUAGCUUUAAAAAAAAUCAUAAAAUGAGUUAUUAAAACAGUUUUUUUAUCUAACUUCAGUUAAUAUCUGUGUCAUUUUUAAGGGUAUUAAUAGUUUAGAUUUAAAUAUCUAUAAUUAUUGCAUUUUCACUUAAUAACAUUAAAAUAAUGCUAUUAACUUCAAACUGCUGAUGUAUAAUAAUAUCCUCACAGUUUUAUGGAAAAAUGACUAUAUCUGACUAUUAUAUAAUUUCCCAUUAUCAAGUUUUUUUUUUCUUCAGCUUAUGGAACACAUUUAUUAAUUCAUUACAUUACAAAAUUAUAACUAGAAGCAAGCUAACAAAAAAAAAUGAACGAGGCUCUUUUGGAUAUCUCUAGAUCCAUGUCAGUGACUACAGAAAUGAAUUUAUGUAUUAAAAUAAAAUAAAUCAAACAUGAUUGAUAGUUUUACUUUUGUAAAUUUAAUUAUUUAAGUCUUUAUUACUGUUAUUAUCUCUUGUAACUAAAUGUUUUCAUAAUACAGGCCAAGUGGCAUAACAAGGCAGAAUCCUAACUGGUGGCUUCAAUAACUACUACUACAAAGGUCUAAAAUGGCAGGUCAUUCUGAACCUACUAUACUCUUUGUAAUUAGAAUAUACAUCUUAAGGUUAUGCAACUUUCCACUCUCUACACUUUUAUUUGCUCGAUUACCACUCUUCAAUCAGUUCUCUCACCUGUAUGUUCCCUCUUCUUACUGAAACAGAACAAGAUUGUUUCCGUGGUAACAAUCAGAAGAAAAGUGUAGAGAGUAGGAAAAUUGUGCAACCUUGAGACACCUAUUUUAUUUACAAAGAGUAUUGACAUAUUCUUUGUUACAUCAUAGUUACAUUCUUUGUUAUUUCAAAUACUUUUUGUUAGCAUUUUUUAUUACUAUAAUUUGAAAUAUUGCAACAAAGAUAUUAAUCUCUCUAUUGCAAUAAAUGUAAUUUAUCUCUUAUCUCUUUCCCCUAGAUAUCAAUACUUUUCUUUCACAAGGGACAGUGCUUACUCUUACUCCAUCUAAUUCUGAUCGCCUUACAGGGAGACAUUUUCCCAGGUACAUUUUACAAACGAAAAGAAAAAUCAACCCAACCAGGAGGUGCUAUGUGUGUUCCAGACUAAUUAGAAAUGAUGGUAAAAAGAUGCGCCGGGAAUCGAGAUAUGAGUGUCGUGACUGCAAUGUGGGGUUAUGUAUUGUACCAUGUUUUGAAAUAUAUCAUACUGAAGGAAAUCUAUAAUCUCCAAGAGCAUUUGUUUGAAUUUUUUACUCUUAUUUUUAUUUAAAUAUGAAACAUUUCAUUUGUAAACAUGAACAGAGCAAAGAUUUAGUUAUGAAGUGUUUAGUUGUCGUAUCUCAAGCAUUAAAAUUAGUAUUUUA
rnacentral:lncRNA from 1 species